AUGACCUCGGAUCAGGUAGGGAUACCCGCUGAACUUAAGCAUAUCAAUAAGCGGAGGAAAAGAAACCAACAGGGAUUACCUCAGUAACGGCGAGUGAAGCGGUAACAGCUCAAAUUUGAAAUCUGGCUCCUCGGGGCCCGAAUUGUAAUUUGUAGAAGAUGCUUUGGGUCUGGGCCUGGCCUAAGUUCCUUGGAACAGGACGUCGUAGAGGGUGAGAAUCCCGUAUGCGGCUGGCGCCCGUGCCCGUGUAAAGCUCUUUCAACGAGUCGAGUUGUUUGGGAAUGCAGCUCUAAAUGGGUGGUAAAUUUCAUCUAAAGCUAAAUAUUGGCCAGAGACCGAUAGCGCACAAGUAGAGUGAUCGAAAGAUGAAAAGCACUUUGGAAAGAGAGUUAAACAGUACGUGAAAUUGUUGAAAGGGAAGCGCUGGCAACCAGACUUGGGCGCUGUUGAUCCGCUAGGGUUCUCUCUAGGGCACUCGGCAGUGCGCAGGCCAGCAUCGGUUUGGGGGGUUGGAGAAUGGCUGGUGGAAUGUGGCUGUCUUCGGGCAGUGUUAUAGCCACCGGUGGCAUGCAGCCUCCCCGGACCGAGGACCGCGCUUCGGCUAGGAUGCUGGCGUAAUGGUUGUCAGCGACCCGUCUUGAAACACGGACCAAGGAGUCUAACAUCUAUGCGAGUGUUUGGGUGUUAAACCCAUACGCGGAAUGAAAGUGAACGUAGGUGAGAACCCGCAAGGGUGCAUCAUCGACCGAUCCUGA
rnacentral:rRNA from 1 species